rnacentral:rRNA from 1 species
CACGUAGGGUGCGAGCGUUGUCCGGAAUUAUUGGGCGUAAAGAGCUCGUAGGCGGUGUGUCGCGUCGGCCGAGAAAACCUGCAGCUUAACUGUGGGCUUGCGGUCGAUACGGGCAUCACUGGAGUUCGGCAGGGGAGACUGGAAUUCCUGGUGUAGCGGUGAAAUGCGCAGAUAUCAGGAGGAACACCGGUGGCGAAGGCGGGUCUCUGGGCCGAUACUGACGCUGAGGAGCGAAAGCGUGGGGAGCGAACAGG